GAUAAGGAAAUUUGAAUAUAAUGCUGCGAAAAUCAAGAUUUUCGGAAGAGCCCAAGUGUACAGUGUUGUGCUGUGGCAUCUCUGUCUAUAGUGUUAACAGUUUGCGUUGAAUCCCGAAGAAACAAUAACAAAAGUUUUGCGCCCUUAAAGAUGCGAAAGAUGCGUUUUCAAAACAUUGCCAGCUGCAUUGUUUUAACAAUGUUAUUGCGAAGAUGCUUAUAGAAACAGCCUUCUCAUCUACUCGAAGACCUUCGCAUAAAAAAUAUCUGGCCAACCAACGUGAAACGCUCUAAGACCGUUCCUCAGUCCUAAUUCAAUUGAACGGCAAAUACCAAGAUCUACUCAGUUUGGUAUUCUUAUGCAAAAUGUCAAAAAGUGAGUAAUCGAGUACUGGACAAUUGAGUAACAUGAACCCAAAUUUUCAUAAUUACCAUGUUUACUCAGUUUUGAGUUAUUAUCCAUGACUCAGGGUGAGAUAUGUAUAUGUCAAAAGUUUUCAACAGCAAUAUUAUCGGUUUCCGAAGAACAAUUGGUGUCUCUUUUUAUUCGUUGGCUAGCACCCAACAUCAGUAUUGCAGAGGAUUUGAAAACACCUAAAAGAUCUCUUCAAAAUGAACAACCGCAUGUUGUAUGUUCUACGAUGCCGUUUAAAGCCGGACUUUUAUUCGUGAUGACAAACGGAAACAUUUGUAUUGAUGUACAGUGCUCAACAAUCGAUGCAAUUUAAAUCCUUCGCAGAAUUAGGUGACGAAUGAUGACAGAUUUUCUGGCACAAAAAUGUAAAUCACAAAAAGUUCACGGGCAACUGUCAACCGGUUGGGUGCCGCAUUCAAUGAAGACACGGGAAUGAUUUAGUAAAUUUCUAAUGUUUCGAUUAAAAAUAAAUCUGUGUUUUUGAUUGUUUUGAUUUUAUUUUAUUUAUUGAGUCAGAUUUACAAAAACCAGAAAUCA